GCCCAGCUGGCUCAGUUGGUAGAGCAUGCUACUCUUGAUCUCGGGGUUGUGAGUUUGAACCCCACGUUGGGUG
rnacentral:tRNA from 1 species